GUGUCCCAGGGUGUAGCAGGGUGUCCCACAGGUGUCCCAGGGUGUCCCGGGGUGUCCCGGGGUGUCCAAGGGUAUCCCAGAGGUGUUCCAGGGGUGUCCCACGGUGUUUGGGGGUGUCCCAGGGGUGUCCUGGAGGUGUCCUGGGGGUGUCUCAGUGUCCCAGGAUGUCCCAGGGUCAUCCCAGUGUGUCCUGGGGGUGUUCCCAGGGUGUCCCAGGGGUGCCCCAGGGGUGUCUCAGUGUUCCACGGUAUCCCAGUGUGUCCCAGGGAUGUCCUGGGGGUGUCCCUGGGGUAUCCCAGGGUGUUUGGGGGUGUCCCAGGGUGUCCUGGAUGUGUUCUGGGGGUG